AGGCCUGUAACACAAUGGCUAGUGUAGCGGCCUCCAAAGCCGAAGGUUGGGGGUUCGAGUCCCUCCAGGCCUGCCA
rnacentral:tRNA from 1 species